rnacentral:rRNA from 1 species
UUUCCUACGGGACGCAGCAGUGGGGAAUUUUGCGCAAUGGGGGAAACCCUGACGCAGCAACGCCGCGUGCGGGACGAAGGCCCUCGGGUUGUAAACCACUUUCAGCGGGGAAGAUCCAAGACGGUACCUGAAUAAGAAGCACCGGCUAAAUACGUGCCAGCAGCCGCGGUAAUACGUAUGGUGCAAGCGUUAUCCGGAUUUACUGGGCGUAAAGGGAGCGCAGGCGGCGCGCCAAGUCUGAUGUGAAACCCCGGGGCUCAACCCCGGGCAUGCAUUGGAAACUGGCGGGCUGGAGUGCCGGAGAG